rnacentral:rRNA from 1 species
UACGUAGGGUGCAAGCGUUGUCCGGAAUUAUUGGGCGUAAAGAGCUCGUAGGCGGUUUGUUGCGUCGGCUGUGAAAUCCCGAGGCUCAACCCUCGGGUCUGCAGUCGAUACGAGCAAAACUAGAGUGUUGCAGGGGAGACUGGAAUUCCUGGUGUAGCGGUGAAAUGCGCAGAUAUCAGGAGGAACACCGGUGGCGAAGGCGGGUCUCUGGGCAACAACUGACGCUGAGGAGCGAAAGCGUGGGGAGCGAACAGG